rnacentral:lncRNA from 1 species
UCCUCCCUCCAUCUCGUUUCCCUCUUCUGCCAAACAAAUUCUUAUGUCACAAAGAUAUAUGAUCUCAAUGCAUAUAUUAAUACAUCUAUUGAUUUUCCUCUUGCCAGUCAUUAUCAAGAUUUAUUUAUCCUCACAGCUCUCCAUUGAUUGAGGAAAGCAGUAUUCCCAGUGGUCAAUCAAUCCUGAUAUACUCCAUGACAAGGAGUCAAUAUCUAUUUAUUAUUUGAUUUAUGGACCUAAUUAUCUUAAACAUGAUCAGGCAGGGGGCAAGGCCAAAGCUGAGCAGUGAUCAAGCAACUGGAGCCAGGUUGGGAAUACAUCAAACCAAAGUCUGGGGCCCAGCAAGUUUCUGAACAGUGCAGACACACUGAUUUUACCCUUCCCACUCUCACCACCCCAGCAUCUGCCGCUGGGGAAGGAGAGGGAAAGGGACAAGUGGCAGGGUUUCAAUUUGUGCCUGCUGCCAACUCAACAAGUCACAAGCCAGGCAGGUUUGGUGGUUUGGACAAUGAACCUGAUUUGGAGAGAUCACGACACCGUUGGAGAAUCAUCCAGUUAAUUUCCUUGUCUGUGAGCUCCAUGACGGGCAGACAUCAUGCCUUCCUCUCUCUAUUUCCAUCAUCAGGCACUGGACCCUAUACACACUAGAGGCAGAGGACUGUGCAGCUUAGAAGAAGGCAAAUCCAAAAGAAGGACAUGGUUUGGAUCCCCCCAUACGUGGAGAAAAGCCACCUACCAUCCAAAAACUUG